rnacentral:ncRNA from 1 species
UUAAAUGCGUUGAAAAGGGAAAGUAAAUAAUAUAAGUUACUACAGAGAGAGGUUAGUUUGCUGAGAUAACCUAUAAUAAGUAUUAUUGAAGUGCCCCUUGGAGCAGAAAAGCCGAAAUAAAAGUAGGUUUUUAUGGGAACUCCCAUUAUAGAGUUAGGGUAUGUUUGUACCUAAAAAGAGAUGGAUAAUUUAUUAUCUAACCAGAGUGGAACCGUGGAAGUACAACCUUCUGCCUCUGUG